rnacentral:rRNA from 1 species
GCGUGCCUAAUACAUGCAAGUCGAACGCUUCUUUUUCCACCGGAGCUUGCUCCACCGGAAAAAGAAGAGUGGCGAACGGGUGAGUAACACGUGGGUAACCUGCCCAUCAGAAGGGGAUAACACUUGGAAACAGGUGCUAAUACCGUAUAACAAUCAAAACCGCAUGGUUUUGAUUUGAAAGGCGCUUUCGGGUGUCGCUGAUGGAUGGACCCGCGGUGCAUUAGCUAGUUGGUGAGGUAACGGCUCACCAAGGCCACGAUGCAUAGCCGACCUGAGAGGGUGAUCGGCCACAUUGGGACUGAGACACGGCCCAAACUCCUACGGGAGGCAGCAGUAGGGAAUCUUCGGCAAUGGGCGAAAGUCUGACCGAGCAACGCCGCGUGAGUGAAGAAGGUUUUCGGAUCGUAAAACUCUGUUGUUAGAGAAGAACAAGGAUGAGAGUAACUGUCCAUCCCUUGACGGUAUCUAACCAGAAAGCCACGGCUAACUACGUGCCAGCAGCCGCGGUAAUACGUAGGUGGCAAGCGUUGUCCGGAUUUAUUGGGCGUAAAGCGAGCGCAGGCGGUUUCUUAAGUCUGAUGUGAAAGCCCCCGGCUCAACCGGGGAGGGUCAUUGGAAACUGGGAGACUUGAGUGCAGAAGAGGAGAGUGGAAUUCCAUGUGUAGCGGUGAAAUGCGUAGAUAUAUGGAGGAACACCAGUGGCGAAGGCGGCUCUCUGGUCUGUAACUGACGCUGAGGCUCGAAGCGUGGGGAGCAAACA